CCUACGGGAGGCAGCAGUAAGGAAUUUUCCACAAUGGGCGAAAGCCUGAUGGAGCAACGCCGCGUGGGCGAAGAAGGCCUUCGGGUCGUAAAGCCCUUUUCUAGGGGAAGAUAAUGACGGUACCCUAGGAAUAAGCCACGGCUAACUACGUGCCAGCAGCCGCGGUAAUACGUAGGUGGCGAGCGUUGUCCGGAUUUAUUGGGCGUAAAGAGCGCGAAGGCGGUGCCUUAAGUUGGGCGUGAAAUCCCCUGGCUUAACUGGGGGAGGUCGUUCAAUACUGAGGUGCUUGAGGGUGGACGGGGAGAGCGGAAUUCCCGGUGUAGUGGUGAAAUGCGUAGAUAUCGGGAGGAACACCAGUGGCGAAGGCGGCUCUCUAGACCACUCCUGACGCUCAAGCGCGAAAGCGUGGGUAGCGAACGGAAUUAGAUACUCCGGUAGUCCACGCUGUAAACGAUGAGCACUAGGUGUAGUGGGUAUCGACCCCCACUGUGCCGCAGCUAACGCAAUAAGUGCUCCGCCUGGGGACUACGGCCGCAAGGUUAAAACUCAAAGGAAUUGACGG
rnacentral:rRNA from 1 species